rnacentral:rRNA from 1 species
UACGUAGGGACCAAGCGUUGUCCGGAAUCAUUGGGCGUAAAGAGCGUGUAGGCGGCUUGUUAAGUCUUGCGUGAAAUCUCGGGGCUCAACCCCGAGCGGUCGUGAGAAACUGGCAGGCUAGAGUGCGGGAGAGGAGAGUGGAAUUCCUGGUGUAGCGGUGAAAUGCGCAGAUAUCAGGAAGAACACCGGUGGCGAAGGCGGCUCUCUGGGCCUUACCUGACGCUGAGGAGCGAGAGCGUGGGUAGCGAACAGG